rnacentral:rRNA from 1 species
AAUGAACGCUGGCGGCAGGCCUAACACAUGCAAGUCGAACGGAUCCUUCGGGAUUAGUGGCGGACGGGUGAGUAACGCGUGGGAACGUGCCCUUUGGUUCGGAAUAGCCUCGGGAAACUGGGAGUAAUACCGGAUAAGCCCUUCGGGGGAAAGAUUUAUCGCCAAAGGAUCGGCCCGCGUUGGAUUAGGUAGUUGGUGGGGUAAUGGCCUACCAAGCCGACGAUCCAUAGCUGGUUUGAGAGGAUGAUCAGCCACACUGGGACUGAGACACGGCCCAGACUCCUACGGGAGGCAGCAGUGGGGAAUCCUAGACAAUGGGGGAAACCCUGAUCUAGCCAUGCCGCGUGAUCGAUGAAGGCCUUAGGGUUGUAUAGAUCUUUCAGUUGGGAAGAUAAUGACGGUACCAACAGAAGAAGCCCCGGCUAACUCCGUGCCAGCAGCCGCGGUAA